GACGAACGCUGGCGGCGUGCUUAACACAUGCAAGUCGAACGGAAAGGCCCUGCUUUUGUGGGGUGCUCGAGUGGCGAACGGGUGAGUAACACGUGAGUAACCUGCCCUUGACUUUGGGAUAACUUCAGGAAACUGGGGCUAAUACCGGAUAGGAGCUCCUGCUGCAUGGUGGGGGUUGGAAAGUUUCGGCGGUUGGGGAUGGACUCGCGGCUUAUCAUCUUGUUGGUGGGGUAGUGGCUUACCAAGGCUUUGACGGGUAGCCGGCCUGAGAGGGUGACCGGCCACAUUGGGACUGAGAUACGGCCCAGACUCCUACGGGAGGCAGAAGUGGGGAAUAUUGCACAAUGGGCGGAAGCCUGAUGCAGCAACGCCGCGUGCGGGAUGACGGCCUUCGGGUUGUAAACCGCUUUCGCCUGUGACGAAGCGUGAGUGACGGUAAUGGGUAAAGAAGCACCGGCUAACUACGUG
rnacentral:rRNA from 1 species